rnacentral:rRNA from 1 species
CCUACGGGAGGCAGCAGUGGGGAAUAUUGGACAAUGGGCGCAAGCCUGAUCCAGCCAUGCCGCGUGAGUGAUGAAGGCCCUAGGGUUGUAAAGCUCUUUCAGCGAGGAGGAUAAUGACGUACUC